rnacentral:rRNA from 1 species
AUUGAACGCUGGCGGCAGGCCUAACACAUGCAAGUCGAACGAGUGGCGGACGGGUGAGUCAUGUCUGGGAAACUGCCUGAUGUACGGGGAUAACUACUGGAAACGGUAGCUAAUACUGCAAAACAUCGGUUGUGCCCAGGUGGGAUUAGCUAGUAGGUGGGGUAAAGGCUCACCUAGGCGACGAUCCUUAGCUGGUCUGGGAGGAUGACCAGCCACACUGGAACUGAGACACGGUCCAGACUCCUACGGGAGGCAGCAGUGGGGAAUAUUGCACAAUGGGCGCAAGCCUGAUGCAGCCAUGCCGCGUGUAUGAAGAAGGCCUUCGGGUUGUAAAGUACUUUCAUCGGGGAAGCGUUACCCGCAGAGGAAGCACCGGCUAACUCCGUGCCAGCAGCCGCGGUAAUUC